GAGGAAAGGCUGAGCAAAUCAGAGAUGACAAUGCUCCUAAUGCAUUUGGAGUGGAAAAUGUUGAUGCCGAAGAAAGGGGGCCCACCGUAUGGUUUUCCUAGGGCUCCACAGUCCCCAGGAAUGGUCUUGCAUCCGUAUUCCCCUGAGAAUUGUCGUGGGAGCCUGGCAUUGUGAACCAAACUGGCCCUCGGCUACAAUGAAUUUCCCUGAGAACCACCGGCAGCAUAGUUUGACUCCGGACAUUUGCUCACAGUUAAUUGACUCAGAUUUUGGCACUUCACAUAAACUGGGCCAAUCAGAGGCCCUUCUCUGGAAAUCUCGAGUUGAGAGUAUGAGAUGCUAGUGUCAGUCUAAAUCUGUCGCUCAGUAGAAGCGAUAAAGAGCUAUUUUAUUUUUUGCCAUGUGGAUCAGGGAUCAAAGAGAAGUAAAAAAGAAAAAGGAAAAAUGAGAACAAAUUGUCUUCAAAUAGUGGUUCAGAUUUGUUUUUGAGGCCUGGUUACAUUUCUGCCCUUGGGUUUGGGGAGAAAUAGUCAUAAUAUGUAUAGGUAUAUUUGUUUUAACUUUUACCUGUUCUAGCGGUUCUAUUAUGUAUAACCAAUGUAAUCCUAAUUGAUGUAGUGGACCAGAGUGAACAAAAAUAUUCUUAGAAUUACAUAAGUAGCCCAGUCUGACUGCAACAGGGGGCUUUGUAAUAGGAUAUGGCAGAGAGCUCUGCAUUCUAAGGAGGUGGUCUUGGGCUGCCUUUGCUCAGUGUAUAUCAGAGAGGAGAAAUGGAGCACAUUAAAGGGUUAAUCAUACUCUCGCACUGAAAGACUGUUUGAAUUGAGUAGAUAGAAGGUUUGGUAUUACCACUGGCCAAAUGCAGAACAUGGUCGGAAUUAAGAAAGCUUUUUUCAUGAAGACCUAGGAAAAGAAUAGCUAUGGAGAAAUAUAGAGGGGACCUGUGUUUAAUGACAGCUACAAAAUACACUCAGUGAUCAAGAAAUGAAAGCUUUAUUCUCAAUCUGGCAGAUCCAAAGGGAUGUGGCUAGAGAACUAAGCCAUAAAGGUUGCC